rnacentral:rRNA from 1 species
GCAGUGGGUACGGGCAGACUAGAGUGCGGUAGGGGAGAUUGGAAUUCCUGGUGUAGCGGUGGAAUGCGCAGAUAUCAGGAGGAACACCGAUGGCGAAGGCAGAUCUCUGGGCCGUAACUGACGCUGAGGAGCGAAAGGGUGGGGAGCAAACAGGCUUAGAUACCCUGGUAGUCCACCCCGUAAACGUUGGGAACUAGUUGUGGGGUCCUUUCCACGGAUUCCGUGACGCAGCUAACGCAUUAAGUUCCCCGCCUGGGGAGUACGGCCGCAAGGCUAAAACUCAAAGGAAUUGACGGGGACCCGCACAAGCGGCGGAGCAUGCGGAUUAAUUCGAUGCAACGCGAAGAACCUUACCAAGGCUUGACAUACACGAGAACACCCUAGAAAUAGGGGACUCUUUGGACACUCGUGAACAGGUGGUGCAUGGUUGUCGUCAGCUCGUGUCGUGAGAUGUUGGGUUAAGUCCCGCAACGAGCGCAACCCUCGUUCUAUGUUGCCAGCACGUUAUGGUGGGAACUCAUGGGAUACUGCCGGGGUCAACUCGGAGGAAGGUGGGGAUGACGUCAAAUCAUCAUGCCCCUUAUGUCUUGGGCUUCACGCAUGCUACAAUGGCCGGUACAAAGGGCUGCAAUACCGUGAGGUGGAGCGAAUCCCAAAAAGCCGGUCCCAGUUCGGAUUGAGGUCUGCAACUCGACCUCAUGAAGUCGGAGUCGCUAGUAAUCGCAGAUCAGCAACGCUGCGGUGAAUACGUUCCCGGGUCUUGUACACACCGCCCGUCAAGUCAUGAAAGUCGGUAACACCUGAAGCCGGUGGCCUAACCCUUGUGG